AAAUCCGUCGAAUUUUUUAAUCGGGAGGGUUCAAGUCCCUCUAUCCCCA
rnacentral:tRNA from 1 species